GCGGGUGUGCGCAGGCGUAGCUCGCCGGUCUCCAAAGCCGUGCGAUGAGAGUUCGAAUCUCUCCACCCGUG
rnacentral:tRNA from 1 species